rnacentral:rRNA from 1 species
UACGUAGGGUGCAGGCGUUAAUCGGAAUUACUGGGCGUAAAGCGUGCGCAGGCGGUUUGCUAAGACAGGUGUGAAAUCCCCGGGCUUAACCUGGGAACUGCGCUUGUUACUGGCAGGCUGGAGUGUGGCAGAGGGGGGUGGAAUUCCACGUGUAGCAGUGAAAUGCGUAGAGAUGUGGAGGAACACCGAUGGCGAAGGCAGCCCCCUGGGCUAACACUGACGCUCAUGCACGAAAGCGUGGGGAGCAAACAGG